rnacentral:rRNA from 2 species
CNNUUGUGUUGGAUGUUAAUCNUCUGUUAAAUGAACCUGCCCAUAGGUCCUUGGGAUAACCACGAGAAAUCGGGGCUAAUACCGGAUGUGUCAUCGGACCGCAUGGUCCGCUGAUGAAAGGCGCUCCGGCGUCGCCCAUGGAUGGCUUUGCGGUGCAUUAGCUAGUUGGUGGGGUAACGGCCCACCAAGGCGACGAUGCAUAGCCGACCUGAGAGGGUGAUCGGCCACACUGGGACUGAGACACGGCCCAGACUCCUACGGGAGGCAGCAGUAGGGAAUCUUCCACAAUGGACGAAAGUCUGAUGGAGCAACGCCGCGUGAACGAUGAAGGCUUUCGGGUCGUAAAGUUCUGUUGUAAGGGAAGAACAAGUGCCGCAGGCAAUGGCGGCACCUUGACGGUACCUUGCGAGAAAGCCACGGCUAACUACGUGCCAGCAGCCGCGGUAAUACGUAGGUGGCAAGCGUUGUCCGGAAUUAUUGGGCGUAAAGCGCGCGCAGGCGGCCUCUUAAGUCUGAUGUGAAAGCCCCCGGCUCAACCGGGGAGGGCCAUUGGAAACUGGGAGGCUUGAGUAUAGGAGAGAAGAGUGGAAUUCCACGUGUAGCGGUGAAAUGCGUAGAGAUGUGGAGGAACACCAGUGGCGAAGGCGACUCUUUGGUCUAUAACUGACUCUCGAGGUNCGAAAGCCGUGUGGAGCUUACAGGAUUAGUUACCCUGGUAGUUCAC